rnacentral:rRNA from 1 species
AUGAACGCUAGCUACAGGCUUAACACAUGCAAGUCGAGGGGAAACGAUAUUGGAAGCUUGCUUCCGAUAGGCGUCGACCGGCGCACGGGUGAGUAACGCGUAUCCAACCUGCCCACCACUUGGGGAUAACCUUGCGAAAGUAAGACUAAUACCCAAUGAUAUCUCUAGAAGACAUCUGAAAGGGAUUAAAGAUUUAUCGGUGAUGGAUGGGGAUGCGUCUGAUUAGCUUGUUGGCGGGGUAACGGCCCACCAAGGCGACGAUCAGUAGGGGUUCUGAGAGGAAGGUCCCCCACAUUGGAACUGAGACACGGUCCAAACUCCUACGGGAGGCAGCAGUGAGGAAUAUUGGUCAAUGGGCGAGAGCCUGAACCAGCCAAGUAGCGUGCAGGAUGACGGCCCUAUGGGUUGUAAACUGCUUUUAUAAGGGAAUAAAGUGAGCCUCGUGAGGCUUUUUGCAUGUACCUUAUGAAUAAGGACCGGCUAAUUCCGUGCCAGCAGCCGCGGUAAUACGGAAGGUCCGGGCGUUAUCCGGAUUUAUUGGGUUUAAAGGGAGCGUAGGCCGGAGAUUAAGCGUGUUGUGAAAUGUAGACGCUCAACGUCUGCACUGCAGCGCGAACUGGUUUCCUUGAGUACGCACAAAGUGGGCGGAAUUCGUGGUGUAGCGGUGAAAUGCUUAGAUAUCACGAAGAACUCCGAUUGCGAAGGCAGCUCACUGGAGCGCAACUGACGCUGAAGCUCGAAAGUGCGGGUAUCGAACAGGAUUAGAUACCCUGGUAGUCCGCACGGUAAACGAUGGAUGCUCGCUGUUUGCGUCUGACGUAAGCGGCCAAGCGAAAGCGUUAAGCAUCCCACCUGGGGAGUACGCCGGCAACGGUGAAACUCAAAGGAAUUGACGG